GGGCGGUUAGCUCAACGGUAGAGCACUACGUUUACAUCGUAGGGGUUAUAGGUUCGAAUCCUAUACCGCCCA
rnacentral:tRNA from 1 species